CCGAUAUUUAUAUGAUUCAGGAAGGCAGCCAGGAAGAAAGAAGAAGUAGCUUGAGAACUGCGACGGAAAAGAUUACAAGAAAAACAGCGUGAAACACAACAAACCAAUGGUGUGACUGAUAAUUAAAGCUUGCAGCUACGUGGUCAGGAAGAUCCAGGCUGCUGCUUCUGGCGGAGAGCGAGAAGAAAAGCCUGUCCUGACACCAUGUAGUUCAAAAGCUCUAAAAAAGGAGGAGAAAAGGUCGAUGGGAUCUUCCUCAACUGCUGCCCUGAACCCAGGACCUGAAGAAGGCAUGGACGGAGCAGCAGCCUCGGGGAUGACCUCCCAGCUCGAUGUGCAGCCAUGCGGAUCCUGACGUUAAAGAUCUGGCUAGAUACUGGCACUGUAGUGAACUCAAGUGCAAAAAUUGAUUUGUUAUUGAUAUUUAAAGUAUAGAGAAAACAAUUUGCAGUUUACUAUACAUAAUCACGGAAUUUAAAUGGUUUUAUUAAAAGUAAAACAAUGCAAAUAAACUAAUUCCAACAUUUUCCUGUAUUAAAGUUGUAUACAGUGACCAGUGUCUAGUCCAGGAUGACCACCAAAAUUUUUUAAAUUUUUUUUGUCUUUCACAGCAAACUGACAUUGCAGAAAACAAGUUGAAUUAAAACUAAAGCAGUCGGUAUGUUUCCUGUGAAAGACCUAAUUUCAUGUACUGCAGCGUUUGAAGGCCGACUUACCAACCUUUGUGCCCAGAGGCUAAGUUGGCCUGAUGUUUCUGUUGUUACGUCAACUAUAAAAUUGUUUUUGUUAAGGUUUAUACAAUAUGCCAAAAGGUAAACAUUGUAAUGGAUUUUUGUAUUUUAAAAAAAUAUUACGUAAGCAGUUAUUUGUAUAUCACUUGGUUACAUUUGUAAGAAAUUUGAAUUUCUCACUAUGUUUGCAUUGUUU